UACGUAGGAUCCGAGCGUUAUCCGGAUUUAUUGGGUUUAAAGGGUGCUCAGGCGGGCCAUUAAGUCGGCGGUGAAAUUUUGCGGCUCAACCGUAAAAGUGCCUUCGAUACUGGUGGUCUUGAGUGUGGAUGAGGUAGGCGGAAUUUGUGGUGUAGCGGUGAAAUGCAUAGAUAUCACGAGGAACUCCGAUUGCUAAGGCAGCUUACUAAGCCAUAACUGACGCUCAAGCACGAAGGCGUGGGGAUCAAACAGGAUUAGAUACCCCCGUAGU
rnacentral:rRNA from 1 species